GACGUAGGGCGCGAGCGUUGUCCGGAUUUAUUGGGCGUAAAGAGCUCGUAGGCGGCUUGUCGCGUCGACUGUGAAAUCCCGCGGCUCAACUGCGGGUCUGCAGUCGAUACGGGCAGGCUAGAGUUCGGUAGGGGAGACUGGAAUUCCUGGUGUAGCGGUGAAAUGCGCAGAUAUCUGGAGGAACACCGGUGGCGAAGGCGGCAUCCUGGACCGACAUUGACGCUGAGGCGCGAAAGCCAGGGGAGCAAACGGG
rnacentral:rRNA from 1 species